CGAACAGAAAAAACCGGACGAAGUGGGAGCGAGCCCCCUCGCAGGAACCAGAGAUCCAAGCCCUAUGUCGCCGCCGCCGAUGCCUCCUCCUCCACCUCCAUUCCCAAGCGACGGCGCCCGCGGACGCGGUCUUCUACCCCAACCACCAUGGCUGCAGAUCCACCCACGGCCGAUCGUCUAAGCUGCAAGCAUGGAUCGAUGGCUCCAGGAAGGUAUCCAUCCUCCCUGGGUGGAGCGAGUUGCAGAUCUCGUCCGGCCCUCUGGAGCCGGCCAUCUCCGCCUCCUCCUCGCCGCCGCUGCCGGGGAUCACGUCUUCACCAAGCGCGAGCUCCGCCCCAUCCGACCGACCGCAAAGGGAUUGACCAUUGUAAAUAUUCAAGGAGAUUCAAAUGUUCCUCUUCUGGCCGAUUGAAGUUCAAUAAGGAUGCUGAUAAGGUGAUUGAGGUAAUGAAGCUUAGGGUUGUCUACACAUUGCCCAGUGGAAGGUCAGACAACUCUGGUGUUACAUCUUUAGCAAAUAGGAGCUUUAGGCAGGGCACUGAUGAUUUGACGGUGAUAUUGGUUAGCUCUAUGUCCUAUUUAGGAAACAUAUUGAUUUAUUAAUAUUUUUUAAGUAUAAAAGCUAACUAUAAUCUGCACAAGAGCCAAACCUGCAGAAGGUUAGAGUGUGUGCAGCAGUUUCAGAACCUAGGGAAAACUAGCCUGACUGGUCUCUUUAAUAUUUAGUGAGUCUGUCCAUGCACUUUUAAUUCUACUCACCACUAAAGAUAUCUACAACUUUCAUGUUGAACGCAUAGUUUAAUUCAAACAGUAACAUGGUCUAAGUCCGCAUACAAGGUUACUGUACACAGAAUUACAUAAGGAUUAACUUUUGGACUGUGAAACUAAAUUGGACUGCUACUUUUAAACCGUACAUCGAAAUAGUGCAAAUAGAUAGUCUAUAGAAAGCAUGGGACAUAUCUCUCCUUUUUUUUGGCGAUUGAUCUCCACAUUAUGUUUGGAGUCCAAGUGAAAAUUAUGCAGUUUUUGAUAGAGGAUUUGGAAAGGCCGAAUCUGUUUAGUAGGUGGAUUACCCAAAACAGUUGACUUCAUCCAACCCAACCUCACAUCACUGUAUAAAGUUUGUAGCACUUAUUUUAUAUGCAGAGCACUUGUGAACUAGGAUUUUGACCAAAAGAUUUCGAGUGUUUUAUGGGAGCUUGCAUUGCAGGGAUACUUGAAGCUAGGGCAAUCCAAGUAAGAUAGCUUCAUCCUCAGACAACAGGUUUAUGUUAUCUUAUCAUGGAGUCAUUUUUAAGUUCGUGCCCAACGCAUGCAUGUAAAUAUGUAAUACACCAACUUUGUUCUUUUAUUUUUUUCGAUUGACUAAGUUUACCUUUUCAAUUUACAUUCCCUUUAUAGCUAGCAAAUGGUCUCCAGAGGAUUUUUUAGAAGUUCAAAUCCAGUAAUUAAAUGUUGAUCGCAUAAGGCAGGCUGAUGGUAUCUUGGUCGAAGAAUUUUAUUCCUACUGGAUGGAACUAGAACUGUUCUUCCUAAAUAUGUUGGCAUGCAAAGAACAAUAUCUAUCUAAAAUGUCUUUUGGCUCAUUUGUUUUGCGUGCUCAGGUUAAACAAGUGCAAUCUGAAAUUAAGAAAGCUUCUUUUAUGGUAACAUACAGGAAAGUUCUUAUAUAUGCAGUUACCUAUGCACACAUGAUAUUGUGUUUCUAACCUCAUUUGUUCUGUGUUGCAGGUUAAGAAAUUUACAGUUUAAAAAUUAAUAAAGCAGCGAUCCCCUUCCUAUAGUCAAUAAUGCUUAUUAGGAGUCCUGAUAUUCCAAUAGUCCAGAAAUGGUUAUGUAAAAUACAUAAUAUUCACUGUUGUUGGCAUUUUCACAAUUAGCUUGCUUUUAUCUCACUGCAAUUCAUUGCUCAUGGCUUAUACUGGCUUUUCUGUUAUGAAUGUUCUCUUUCUUUAGGAAUCUGGCUACUGUUUGGUGCCAACUGCUGUGUGAUGGUAAUAGGGAGCGCAUGUACGUGCAGCUGUGGAAUGAUCACCCAAAUCACCUCAAUCAGAAAGGGGAGGCCAAACUAUGAUAUGGUUUAGUACCAGUUGAUGGAGCAACAGAAGGUAAUGCCUAUCUUAGUGAUUCUAAGCUCAUUUCCCCCCAAUAAGUGUUCCUUGCAAAAUGAUAUUUUGCAUCCAAUAUAAUUUAAUUCAUGGGCUUCUUUACAUCAAAUAUAUUUUGUACUGGGUUGAUGGAGUUGGCCUGUGUUUGCAUUUGAUAAUGCUUUCUUAAGAGGCUUUUUAUGACACCCGUACAUAGUAUCUUUGGCAUUUUGAAGGAUAGUUGUAUUUGGUUACCUGUAUUAUAAUUAUUCUGGAGUGAAUUAAAUCAGAAGCUAAUUUUAUCAAAAGGCAGUUUCCUUUCCUAUGAGGCUAUGAUGGCAACCAUAAUUAUGCCCGUGUGAAAUUAAAACAAGCAUUUUAGAUGCAGUUUGUGGAAAAUGUCAUUCUUUUUCCAAGCCUUGAUGCUAUCGUCAAAUUAAUAGAUGAAAUGCCUUACCUCUUAUAAAUUAAAUAUUUCUAUUGCUUAGGUUAAGACUGUUACAGUUUUUGUUGAUCGUGAUAAGGUUCCUGGUUGCAGACUGAGAUCUCCGCAAACAGAAAAUAGAUUAUCCUUUUAUAAGAAGUAGGGUACGGAUAUUCAUUUAUCUUUGGUUUUUUAGGUAGAGGUUUGUUCGCUAAAUCAUACUAAAUCAAAGACAUUUAUUUUGGGAUGGAGGGAGUACUAGAUAAGAUCAUGCUCUCUUUGUGAAGUAAACAAGAUAGUAGCACGAAAUGUUUGCUUUCCUUUUUCUUUUUCCAGUUAGAGGUAUUAGUUGAUAUUACAAAUAAAUCUUUGUUUAUUUGUAUAGUAUGUUCUCCAUUGUAAGACAAAAUCUGAAUUUCAGAUAGCUGGACAAGAUCUGUCUUACAGGUACUUGUGCAGAGAUGUUAAUUUAAGCAAUGUACUAGCAUAUUGUGUGAUGCAACAAUUUGCAAACCUAGAGUAGCCCUUCUUUGGCCUGCUUAUCGGGUCUGUUUUUGAAUGAUCAUGUUCACUAAUGUCCCUGCUUUUCUAAUGUAACUCUGUCACUAGGCCCUGAGCUGCACCUUCCUUUUGCAAGGUAUGUUGUGCGGCUGUGUUUGUGUGAUUUUGUUGCUACAUGAGUAAGUUUUGGGGAAUUGAGGCUGCAGUCAUAUUGUUAUCUGCAAUAAUAAAGGCCAAAUGAAGCUAUAAGCGGGCGCGCUUUGACGAAUGAGCUAUGACACAAUAUUUGAUAUAUUUCUCUGAGGGUCUCUGUUGUUUCUUUCAGCAGUGUGCUCUCUGGCCUCCUUUUCCUUUGCAUGCAUUACAUUUGUUAUUUCAAUCUCAUGUGUCUCUAUGCCACGAAGAUAACUAGCAAUAGAACGUGAAUAAAGUAGUACACUUCUUUGUCUGGUUGUGUACAUUGUCUGUAUUGUUUGACGCAUCCACCGCCUGCAUGCUGGAGCAGAUCAAUAACAUCCAAGAAAAACACCUCCAUCUCAACACAGCUGAAAUGAGCAGCCCGCUAAAAAAAAUAUAAGACUAAUAUUACAACAGCGAAAAACGGCGCAGCAAAGCGCAUGUUAUCCUCUAGCAAUCAUUUCUUCACUAUAUAUUAUGAAAAUACACCUGUUUGUCUUGACAGAGUUGAUUUUGUGAGUUUAUGUAUGAAAAUCAACAACAUAAAUGUUUCCUAUUUGAUAGAUUUACUUGAUUAUAAAUAUAUCUUUCACACUAUUAAAUGCCCCAGUGCAACGCGUGUUCCCUGGUCCCACCCAGCCACCAUCACAUGCCUCCUCACACUAACCGCACAUAUCCCGGUGCUGCAAUCACCCCCACGAUCACAACUUGUUGUGAGUUGUCUGGGGGACGACGAUGUGGCAAGCUGCACCUGGCGAUGGGCGAAAGCUGCAAGUGACACGAGGGUGUAGGUGAUUGCUGCCACCGGUCACUGCUUUGCUGGAACCAACAUCGGCAAAUGCUACUACCGCGGUCACCACAUGCUGCAAUCGGAUUUCAAAGAAGCACUCGAAAUAAAGCUGUGUGGCUGGAAUUCCGAUAUAUCUAAAUGGCAACGUUUAUUUUUAUUUGGUAUUCUAGCGAGUAUAGACGGUAAUGAAUUCAUAAUAAAAAUAUUUAUUUU